GCUGAGGGGGGCCGUCGCGCACAGCCCGUACCCCCCGCCCGCGGGUGGCAAGCGGCGGCGCUGCGGGAGGCGGCCUGGCGCCUUGCCCCGUUGCAGCACGGGCUGUGCCACCGGGCGGGCCGGUGCCGCCUCCGUCCGGUCGCGGUGUCCCGUGCUCCGUGGGGCGCCAUUCCCAAGCCCGCCCGCGUGCGCACCGGAGAGCGGCGGUGGCUGCGGCUGCCGGCUCGUGUGGCGCGGCGGCGCCGGCUGAGCAGGGCCCGGGGGUACCGGCGCUAUCCGAUGCUUCACAGAUGAGCUAGAGCGGAACCAUCUGGAAAUUGUUUUAAUUUCUGUAACGAAAGCUCUAUUUAAAGAUGUGUGGGAUUCCUCAGAACAACGUUAACUGUGAAGAAGAACAGGACAGGGAAAGAAAACAGAUGCUUCCAGAGCAACAGGCAGAGCAGAAAGAUAGUGGUAAAUAUUCUAUUGUUUUUUUCUUUUCAGCUGCAGCGUUUUAAGUUCUUUGUAGUUAACUGAAGAAACAGAAAAGAAAUAAAGAACUUCACAGAAGUUAAUCAAGUCAAACAAAAGAGGGAGCUCUCUUCCUACGCCUGCCCAGCUUUUCCCUACCAUUACUUUACAAAGGCGCUGAUUCAGCAGAAUAAUUCCUGUGUAGGGAUAUACUUAAAUGUUUUCCUAAAUAACGAGCCUUGUUGGGGGGUGGGGAGUGUAAGAGAAGCAAGUAAUGCCCUUACUUUAGUUAUUGCUGAUUGGCAGUGUCUUUACAUGACAAAUUCAUGCUGAUGUGGGUUUUUUACAAGACUGGAAGAUAAAGAAAAGUCAAUGAAAAUGUAAAAAUGUUGUCUGAAGCACACUGGUUAAUUAUAGAAAAAAACACCAACACAACAGCAAUGUUGUGUGAAUAUAUGCCAUUUAUUCAGCAGGAUAAUUAAUCAAGAGGAAUAAAGCAAAAUACAUAUUAAAAACAUUUGUAAAGUAAAAUACAGUGAAGUAUGUUCUAAAACCAUUGAGCAGUUUGAUAGAACUGACCGAGAUGGUCCUGAAGCUGUUUGACAGCUUUGUGUCAAGAUCCACAAACCAAAUUCUAUUACUUUUAAAAUUUUUUGUGCACACAUUCUGUGCAUAACUCUUGCCAAAUUAUGUAUUACAUGUAUGUAUUAUGUAUGGGCUGAUGUUUUCCUAUAGUGGGACCAUUACUGCUGUCUAAAUUUAAUGUGUAGCUUACACAGGUCCUUUGGGCUGUGCUUUCAGAUUAUCACGUGGGCAGAACUUCCCAAUAAGGGUUUGUGAAAGCAGCUUAAUGGUUCCAGUUUUGUUGAUGGCCCCUUGUUGUUGCCCAGUUCUGGACAGUUAAGGCAGUAGGGAAACUCCCCCUGACUGCACACUGCAGGAUCAGACCCUGAAUGUUCUUUGUUGACAUUAGUGUUUCACGCUACUGUAUAUUGGUGCAGGAAGCUUGACCUAAUUUUUUAUGACUGAGAGUAUUAAUUUUUAACUUUAGGUUUGUAACGGUUUUGUAGAGUUAAGUCUACAUGUAUAAUACAUAAAAAUAAAAAAUCUAUAUAUUUAUAUUGUUAUAUAACGUGUGUGUGUGUACAUAUAUAUUUAAAAAUAAUAUCUAUAUAUAGGCACAUGGUAAAACCCUACUUGAUAUCAAGAGUUUGUUGGAUACCAUAAAUACAU